CGAAUAUAAGAGACGUCUCUUAGCUUUUAACUAAAAAAACUAAGAGACAUUUCCUAAAUAAAAGAUAUAAGACGUUUCUUAAUUUUUUUUAGUUAAAAGCUAAGAGACGUCAUUAUAUUCG
rnacentral:pre_miRNA from 1 species